CGUCAAGGAUGUGAAAAUCUUCUACUUGUCAAAAGGAACCACGUAACACCAUGGCUUGGUUUUCUUCCAUUUCUCACAUUUCAGAUAUUCUUGCUCUCUCUUGGUGUCUGGAUUUCCCUGCCAAAGUUUGAAGCUUUCCCCCAGAAUUUGUCACCCAGAUAAGUUUUUCUUUCAUAUCAAAUUCUGGGUCUUUAUUUUUUCAAUCCCUUUGUCUGAUAAAACCAGAAAGGAAUUUCCUUCACCUUCAAAUCUGAGUUGGGUUGUCCUUGUCCCCUCUCUGAGUUGGGAUUUGUAUCCGCAGAAACAAAUCCUGAUUUGGAGAGAAGGGUGCGUUUGUGUUCAAAGUGUUCAGAUUCCCUGAAACCUUAACGUUUUGAUGAGAGGAGAACCCAGUUGAUUCUUCAGUAAUACAACUUUGAGGUUUUGAGCUUGUUUCUUGAUAGCUGCCACUGUUCUAUGUAUAAAGUUGGUUAUCUUGGUUAUGUUGUUCUUGUUAUCAAUCUGACUGUUGUGUCUUUCCCUUCAUUUUCUUGGCUUUUGAAUGUUCUUCUAAGUUCAUAAGCUUAUCUCAAGCUCUUUCCUACUAAGUUGUCUUUUUUCUUGGAAGGCCUUGUGUUUGGCUUUGGAUUAGUUAUCUAGUGUAUGCAAUUGAUUCAUUUGAAAAAAAUAAAAAUGAAAAUAAAAAGAGUAUCUUCCUUUCUUAUGUGCUUGAGUGGAUUGAACUGAGCGUUGUGGACUAGGAGGAGUGGUAUCUUGGGUUAGUUUCUUUAUUGUUGGGUUCAAAAUGGGGAAGAAAAAGAAUCAAGGAGGUGAAACGAGUGAAGAUAGUGCUAGUCAAAGCAAAGUUGGAGAUAGAAGCCCCAAAGCAUAUGACAAUGAUACUGUGGUGUUUAUAUCCAUGUCUCAAGAGUUGAAGGAUGAGGGGAACAAGCUGUUCCAAAAACGGGAUGUUGAAGGAGCUUUGGUAAAAUAUGAGAAAGCCCUCAAAUUGCUUCCAAAAAAUCAUGUAGAUGUGUCCUAUCUGCGGAGUAACAUGGCUGCAUGCUACAUGCAGAUGGGACUCAGUGAGUACCCUAGGGCAAUUCAUGAAUGCGAUUUGGCUCUUGAAGUGACACCGAAAUACAGCAAAGCUCUGAUGAAGAGGGCAAGGUGCUAUGAGGCUUUAAAUAGGCUGGAUUUAGCACUGAGAGAUGUUAGUACUGUUUUGAAGAUGGAGCCAAACAAUAUCAUGGCAUUGGAGAUCUCAGACAAGGUGAAAGUUGCACUUGAAGAUAAAGGAUUAAGAGUAAAUGAUACACAAAUUGAGUUGCCUCCAGACUAUGUUGAGCCUCCCUAUGCUUUGCCUCCCAAAGAAGUAGUGAAAGAAAAGACUCGGAAGAAGAAGAGCAAGAAAGAGAAGGUGAAGGAUCCCAAUGAAAUUGUUGAAAAGCAAGUGGAGGAGAAAUUGGAAGAGAAAGCUGAGGACAGUACCGUAGUAAAGAAGGCCGAUGACAGUCUGAAAGAGAAGAAAGCUAACAAAUCUAAAAAGAAGAAGGCCAAGGAAAAAUUGGAUGAGAAGAAGGAUGAUGUUAAGGAGGUCAUUGAGGAAAAAAGUAAUGGUAGAUGUGAAGAUAUACCUAAGAAAUCUGCAAAACUUGUUUUUGGUGAGGAUAUAAGAUGGGCUGAAUUUCCAGUUAAUUGCACCCUCUUUCAGCUAAGAGAAGUUAUUUGUAAUCGGUUCCCAGCCCUAGGAGCAGUUCUUGUCAAAUAUAGGGACCAGGAAGGUGAUUUGGUCACGAUCACUUCUGAUGAAGAAUUAAGGUGGGCUGAAACAGGAUCACAGGGUUCUAUCCGGCUGUACAUAGUAGAAGCGAAUCCUGAUCAGGAUCCAUUCUUUGAGAAACUUCAUGUGAAGGAUGGGGAAAAGGUUGGCACUGAUAAUGCUCCUGAAAAUGGUUGCGUGGUGAAAGCAAAGGAAAUUAUUAGCUCAUCUUGCAUUGAGGAUUGGAUAAUUCCGUUUGCACAACUGUUCAAGAGCAAUGUUGGUUUUGAAUCCGACAGAUAUUUAGAUUUUCAUGAACUUGGGAUGAAGCUCUAUUCAGAGGCUGUGGACGAGACAGUUACAAGUGAAGAAGCACAAGGCCUAUUUGACAUGGCAGGAGGUCAGUUCCAAGAGAUGGCAGCUCUAGCAUUGUUCAACUGGGGAAAUGUGCAUAUGUCCAGGGCAAGGAAGAAAGUGUAUUUAACAGAAGAUUCUUCUAAAGAGCUUAUAUGUGAACAAAUCAAAAGUUCAUAUGAAUGGGCGCAGAAAGAAUACGCAAAAGCUGGAGAAAAAUAUGACUCAGCCAUUAAAAUUAAGUCAGAUUUUUAUGAAGGCUUCUUGGGACUAGGUCAGCAGCAGUUCGAGCAAGCAAAACUUUCUUGGUAUUAUGCACUCAGUAAUGAUGUAGAUUUAGCAACAUGGCCCUCCACCGAGGUUCUUAAGCUUUACAAUGAUGCUGAGGAUAAUAUGGAGAAAGGUAUGCUUAUAUGGGAAGAAUCACAAGCACAACAGUUGAGUGAAACCUCCAAUCAAAAGGAUAUUAGAUUAAAUUUGCCGGACAUGGGGUCGGAUGGGCUAUUUAAUAAUAUGUCAUCAGAUGAAACUGCUGCACAGGCUGCAAAUAUGAGGUCUCAAAUAAAUCUCCUGUGGGGUACCAUGCUAUAUGAACGCUCAAUUGUGGAAUUCAAAUUAGGGCUACCAGUGUGGCAUGAAUGUCUGGGAGUUGCAGUCGAGAAGUUUGAACUUGCUGGAGCUUCUCCAACAGAUAUAGCUGUAAUGUUGAAGAACCACUGUUCAAAUAACACUGCUGUUGAUGGUCUAGGAUUCAAAAUUGAUGAAAUAGUUCAGGCAUGGAAUGAGAUGUAUGAAGCUAAAAAGUGGCAAACAGGAGUUCCAUCAUUUCGUUUGGAACCCUUAUUUAGAAGAAGAGUAUCAAAAAUUUACCAUGCCUUUGAGCUUGUAUGAGUUGCAUAAUUUUCUGCAAGUUGUUGAAGAGUAACACAGCCAACACUCACUCAGGAUUCUUCUGUGCCUAAAAUGCUAUUGUCAUCACAAGCAGUAGACAAUGGUUGACAAAGUGUUUAAGAGAUUUUCAUAUGAAUUUUCCAGUAAGUACUUCAAUAUAAAACAUAAGUCUUUAUGAUUAUAUGGAAACUAGUGUACAAUUCCUUUUUUAGUUGUUUAUUUGGUUAAUGAUUUUAGAUUUCUAUAUUUUAUGCAUCAGGAAAAUUGAAUUCUAUUGGGCAGAACUAUUUCUGGGAAAAUCAAUCGGCCUUCAAUAUAAAUUAUGUAACUUCCAUUAAAACUUGUUAGAGAAUAAUAUAAAUCCUUAAAAAGGUCCUCACUCAACACCUUAAGAUUUUGGGUUGAACUGGUUUUUUACAUGGUAUCAGAGCUUGAGUGACCAUAAGGUCGCGAGUUCGAUCCUCACCGCCCCCCACUUGUGGAAUUAAAUAAAAAAAGGCACAAAAGGUAAACAAAAAAUUGGGCCUGUACAAUAUCUACGCUUCAAGCCCAGAGGGCUCUUGCGUGAAGAGGUGUGUUAGAGAAUAAUAUAAAUCCUUAAAAGGCCCUCACUUAACACCUUAAGAUUUUGGGUUGAAGUGGUUUUUUACAAACUAGUAAAUGAAUUUAUAGCCCAAGGUCAAUUCUUCUGCA